UGGGGGAUAUUGCACAAUGGGCGAAAGCCUGAUGCAGCGACGCCGCGUGGGGGAUGAAGGCCUUCGGGUUGUAAACUUCUUUUGCUCUGAACAAGGCAUGCCUUUGGGGUGUGUUGCGUGUAGGGGUUGAUUAGCGCCGGCUAACUACGUGCCAGCAGCCGCGGUAAUACGUAGGGCGCGAGCGUUGUCCGGAAUUAUUGGGCGUAAAGUGCUUGUAGGUGGCUGGUUGCGUCUGUCGUGAAAGCUCAUGGCUUAACUGUGGGUUUGCGGUGGGUACGGGCUGGCUUGGGUGCAGUAGGGGAUGCUGGGAUUCCUGGUGUAGCGGUGGAAUGCGCAGAUGUCAGGAGGAAUACCGGUGGCGAAGGCGGGUCUCUGGGCUGUUACUGACGCUGAGGGGCGAAAGCGUAGGGAGCGAACAGG
rnacentral:rRNA from 1 species